rnacentral:miRNA from 1 species
UGGAGAUGAUGAUGAUGAUCACGAUGAUGAUGAUGAUGAGGAUGGAGAUGACGAUUACGAUGAUCAUGAUCAUGAUCAUGAUCAUGACGACGA